rnacentral:tRNA from 1 species
AUAGCUCAGUGGUAGAGCGCAUGCUUAGCAUGCAUGAGGUUCUGUGUUCAAUUUCCAGU